rnacentral:rRNA from 1 species
AGAGUUUGAUCAUGGCUCAGGAUGAACGCUAGCUACAGGCUUAACACAUGCAAGUCGAGGGGCAGCAUGUUGGUUGCUUGCAACCAACGAUGGCGACCGGCGCACGGGUGAGUAACGCGUAUCCAACCUACCCUUGUCCAUCGGAUAACCCGUCGAAAGGCGGCCUAACACGAUAUGCGGUUCACAGCAGGCAUCUAACGUGAACGAAAUGUAAAGGAGAAGGGUGGGGAUGCGUCUGAUUAGCUUGUUGGCGGGGUAACGGCCACCAAGGCUACGAUCAGUAGGGGUUCUGAGAGGAAGGUCCCCCACAUUGGAACUGAGACGACGGUCCAAACUCCUACGGGAGGCA